AGACCCGAAACCCGGUGAUCUAGCCAUGGGCAGGUUGAAGGUUGGGUAACACUAACUGGAGGACCGAACCGACUAAUGUUGAAAAAUUAGCGGAUGACCUGUGGCUGGGGGUGAAAGGCCAAUCAAACCGGGAGAUAGCUGGUUCUCCCCGAAAGCUAUUUAGGUAGCGCCUCGUGAAUUCAUCUCCGGGGGUAGAGCACUGUUUCGGCUAGGGGGCCAUCCCGGCUUACCAACCCGAUGCAAACUGCGAAUACCGGAGAAUGUUAUCACGGGAGACACACGGCGGGUGCUAACGUCCGUCGUGAAGAGGGAAACAACCCAGACCGCCAGCUAAGGUCCCAAAGUCAUGGUUAAGUGGGAAACGAUGUGGGAAGGCCCAGACAGCCAGGAUGUUGGCUUAGAAGCAGCCAUCAUUUAAAGAAAGCGUAAUAGCUCACUGGUCGAGUCGGCCUGCGCGGAAGAUGUAACGGGGCUAAACCAUGCACCGAAGCUGCGGCAGCGAACGUAUCACCCAAGACAACUUUACGGAGUUGACGAUUGACGGAGCGAAGCGACGUCAAAGCGUUCAUUAAAGUCGAGUUGGCUUAGGGAUACGUUCGUUGGGUAGGGGAGCGUUCUGUAAGCCUGUGAAGGUGUGUCGUGAGGCAUGCUGGAGGUAUCAGAAGUGCGAAUGCUGACAUAAGUAACGAUAAAGCGGGUGAAAAGCCCGCUCGCCGGAAGACCAAGGGUUCCUGUCCAACGUUAAUCGGGGCAGGGUGAGUCGACCCCUAAGGCGAGGCCGAAAGGCGUAGUCGAUGGGAAACGGGUUAAUAUUCCCGUACUUGGUGUUACUGCGAAGGGGGGACGGAGAAGGCUAUGUUGGCCGGGCGACGGUUGUCCCGGUUUAAGCGUGUAGGUGUGUGUUCCAGGUAAAUCCGGUUCACUUUAACACUGAGGCGUGACGACGAGGCACUACGGUGCUGAAGCAACAAAUGCCCUGCUUCCAGGAAAAGCCUCUAAGCAUCAGGUAACAUCAAAUCGUACCCCAAACCGACACAGGUGGUCAGGUAGAGAAUACCAAGGCGCUUGAGAGAACUCGGGUGAAGGAACUAGGCAAAAUGGUGCCGUAACUUCGGGAGAAGGCACGCUGACACGUAGGUGAAGUGAUUUACUCAUGGAGCUGAAGUCAGUCGAAGAUACCAGCUGGCUGCAACUGUUUAUUAAAAACACAGCACUGUGCAAACACGAAAGUGGACGUAUACGGUGUGACGCCUGCCCGGUGCCGGAAGGUUAAUUGAUGGGGUCAGCGCAAGCGAAGCUCCUGAUCGAAGCCCCGGUAAACGGCGGCCGUAACUAUAACGGUCCUAAGGUAGCGAAAUUCCUUGUCGGGUAAGUUCCGACCUGCACGAAUGGCGUAAUGAUGGCCAGGCUGUCUCCACCCGAGACUCAGUGAAAUUGAACUCGCUGUGAAGAUGCAGUGUACCCGCGGCAAGACGGAAAGACCCCGUGAACCUUUACUAUAGCUUGACACUGAACAUUGAGCCUUGAUGUGUAGGAUAGGUGGGAGGCUUUGAAGUGUGGACGCCAGUCUGCAUGGAGCCGACCUUGAAAUACCACCCUUUAAUGUUUGAUGUUCUAACGUGGACCCGUAAUCCGGGUUGCGGACAGUGUCUGGUGGGUAGUUUGACUGGGGCGGUCUCCUCCUAAAGAGUAACGGAGGAGCACGAAGGUUGGCUAAUCCUGGUCGGACAUCAGGAGGUUAGUGCAAUGGCAUAAGCCAGCUUGACUGCGAGCGUGACGGCGCGAGCAGGUGCGAAAGCAGGUCAUAGUGAUCCGGUGGUUCUGAAUGGAAGGGCCAUCGCUCAACGGAUAAAAGGUACUCCGGGGAUAACAGGCUGAUACCGCCCAAGAGUUCAUAUCGACGGCGGUGUUUGGCACCUCGAUGUCGGCUCAUCACAUCCUGGGGCUGAAGUAGGUCCCAAGGGUAUGGCUGUUCGCCAUUUAAAGUGGUACGCGAGCUGGGUUUAGAACGUCGUGAGACAGUUCGGUCCCUA
rnacentral:rRNA from 1 species